rnacentral:rRNA from 1 species
AUUGAACGCUGGCGGCAGGCCUAACACAUGCAAGUCGAGCGGAUGAAGGGAGCUUGCUCCUGGAUUCAGCGGCGGACGGGUGAGUAAUGCCUAGGAAUCUGCCUGGUAGUGGGGGAUAACGUCCGGAAACGGGCGCUAAUACCGCAUACGUCCUGAGGGAGAAAGUGGGGGAUCUUCGGACCUCACGCUAUCGGAUGAGCCUAGGUCGGAUUAGCUAGUUGGUGGGGUAAAGGCCUACCAAGGCGACGAUCCGUAACUGGUCUGAGAGGAUGAUCAGUCACACUGGAACUGAGACACGGUCCAGACUCCUACGGGAGGCAGCAGUGGGGAAUAUUGGACAAUAGGCGAAAGCCUGAUCCAGCCAUGCCGCGUGUGUGAAGAAGGUCUUCGGAUUGUAAAGCACUUUAAGUUGGGAGGAAGGGCAGUAAGUUAAUACCUUGCUGUUUUGACGUUACCAACAGAAUAAGCACCGGCUAACUUCGUG